AUACGGAGGGUGCAAGCGUUACUCGGAAUCACUGGGCGUAAAGCGCGCGCAGGCGGCUAUUUAAGUUGGAUGUGAAAGCCUACGGCUCAACCGUAGAACUGCAUCCAAAACUAUUUAGCUAGAGUGUGGGAGAGGAAGAUGGAAUUAGUUGUGUAGUGGUAAAAUCCGUAGAGAUAACUAGGAAUACCAAAAGCGAAGGCAAUCUUCUGGAACACUACUGACGCUGAGGCGCGAAAGCGUGGGGAGCAAACAGGAUUAGAAACCCUAGUAGUCC
rnacentral:rRNA from 1 species